rnacentral:rRNA from 1 species
ACGGGUGAGUAGCACGUGGGAACGUACCCUUCAGUUCGGAACAACCCAGGGAAACUUGGGCUAAUACCGAAUACGUCCGUAAGGAGAAAGAUUUAUCGCUGAAGGAUCGGCCCGCGUCUGAUUAGCUAGUUGGUGGGGUAACGGCUCACCAAGGCGACGAUCAGUAGCUGGUCUGAGAGGAUGAUCAGCCUCACUGGGACUGAGACACGGCCCAGACUCCUACGGGAGGCAGCAGUGGGGAAU